rnacentral:rRNA from 1 species
CCUACGGGAGGCAGCAGUGAGGAAUAUUGGUCAAUGGACGAGAGUCUGAACCAGCCAAGUAGCGUGAAGGAUGACUGCCCUAUGGGUUGUAAACUUCUUUUGUCGGGGAGCAAAGCGAACCACGUGUGGUUCAUUGAGAGUACCCGAAGAAAAAGCAUCGGCUAACUCCGUGCCAGCAGCCGCGGUAAUACGGAGGAUGCGAGCGUUAUCCGGAUUUAUUGGGUUUAAAGGGUGCGUAGGCGGAAUGCCAAGUCAGCGGUAAAAUCGCGGGGCUCAACCUCGCUCCGCCGUUGAAACUGGCGUUCUUGAGUGGGCGAGAAGUAUGCGGAAUGCGUGGUGUAGCGGUGAAAUGCAUAGAUAUCACGCAGAACUCCGAUUGCGAAGGCAGCAUACCGGCGCCCAACUGACGCUGAAGCACGAAAGCGUGGGUAUCGAACAGGAUUAGAUACCCUGGUAGUC